ensembl:lncRNA
AUUUGUUUUCCAGUUUGUAUAAAUAUCACCUGUACCUGUUUGAGUUUUUUGUUUGUUUGUUUGUUUGUUUGUUUGUUUGUUUAAAGAUCACCUGUACCUGUUUGAGUUUUUGUUGUUUGUUUGUUUGUUUAAAGAUCACCUGUACCUGUUUGAGUUUUUGUUGUUUGUUUGUUUGUUUAAAGAUCACCUGUACCUGUUUGAGUUUUUUUUUGUUGUUUGUUUGUUUGUUUAAAGAUCACCUGUACCUGUUUGAGUUUUUGUUGUUUGUUUGUUUGUUUAAAGAUCACCUGUACCUGUUUGAGUUUUGUUGUUUGUUUGUUUGUUUAAAGAUCACCUGUACCUGUUUGAGUUUUUGUUGUUUGUUUGUUUGUUUAAAGAUCACCUGUACCUGUUUGAGUGUUUGUUUGUUUUUUUGUUUUUUUUGUUGUUUGUUUGUUUGUUUAAAGAUCACCUGUACCUGUUU